UACAGAGGGUGCGAGCGUUGUUCGGAAUUAUUGGGCGUAAAGCGCGUGUAGGCGGUGAUGCAUGUCGGGUGUGAAAGCCCUCAGCUCAACUGAGGAAGUGCGCCCGAAACUGCAUCGCUGGAGUGCCGGAGAGGAAGGCGGAAUUCCCGGUGUAGAGGUGAAAUUCGUAGAUAUCGGGAGGAACACCAGUGGCGAAGGCGGCCUUCUGGACGGGACACUGACGGCUGAGGCGCGAAAAGCGUGGGGAGCGAUCCGG
rnacentral:rRNA from 1 species